rnacentral:tRNA from 1 species
GGGGAUGUAGCUCAGCGGGAGAACGCGUGUUUACCAUGUAUGAGGUCCCAGGUCGAUCCCAGGCAUCUCCA